GGACCUCCAAUCAAGCAGGGCUACCCGCUGAAUUUAAGCAUAUAACUAAGCGGAGGAAAAGAAACUAACCAGGAUUCCCUCAGUAACGGCGAGUGAAGCGGGAACAGCUCACCAUGAGAAUCUGAAAGGUUUUGCCUUUCCGAGUUGUAGUCUCUAGAAGCGCAGCCAGCAGACGGAGAGGGUUAAGUCCCUUGGAACAGGGCGCCUGAGAGGGUGACAGUCCCGUUCAUACUCUCUCCAUUCUGCGUACGGCGUGCUCUCAGUGAGUCGAGUUGCUUGGGAUUGCAGCUCAAAGUGGGUGGUAAAUUCCAUCUAAGGCUAAAUAUGGGUGGGAGACCGAUAGCGAACAAGUACUGUGAAGGAAAGAUGCAAAGAACUUUGAAAAGAGAGUUAAAGAGUGCCUGA
rnacentral:rRNA from 1 species